rnacentral:misc_RNA from 1 species
GUUGUUAAUGUAGAUUGUGAAAGCUUUCUCUAGGGCAGCCCAAAAAGAAAGCUUUCACAAUCUACAUUACCAACCAUAAGAGUUUUAAGCACAAAGCAUAAAAUUAAUGGCCAGAUCUCUUAUUUAUUAUUCUUAUGCACAUUGGAAGCCUGGGGGAAUUGAUUUGGCACAUGCACUAAGAAGCAAGCUAAGAGUAAUUGGCACGUUCAAGUUGAUUCCAAGCACACUAGCUUUAAUGACGGUGCAUAAACACAAGGCAGCUUCCAGGUCAGCCAAACCUUCAAGUAGAGCACAGCACUUGCUUCCUGAAGGAGGGCUUCCAACUACAAUGUUAACAAGUCCAAGCAGGUCUGCGCAAACCCCUAGCUUCAGUGCAUCUCUAGGGCAAGUUGGAGCAUAAGGGGGAGGCUUGGGCUUGCAAGGAACACAACCAUUAGAAAAUGCUGAGAAGAAAAGGAGAGAGAAUACCAAAAUGCAGGUAGAGAGGUUCUUGGAAGCCAUAGCUAUACUAUAGCUACUAGCUAAACAACUAAUAAAA